AAUUCUCGGCAAUGGAUAUCUCGGCUUUCGCUUCGAUGAAAAACUUAGUGAAAUUUUAUACAUGGUGUGAAUUGUAGAAUUCCAUGAAUAAUCGAGUCUUUGAAUGCAAGUUCCACCCGAAGCCAUUAGGUUGAUGGGACAUCUUCCUGGAUGUCA
rnacentral:rRNA from 1 species